GACGUAGGGCGCGAGCGUUGUCCGGAUUUAUUGGGCGUAAAGAGCUCGUAGGCGGCUUGUCGCGUCGGCUGUGAAAUCCCGUGGCUCAACUGCGGGUCUGCAGCCGAUACGGGCAGGCUAGAGUUCGGUAGGGGAGACUGGAAUUCCUGGUGUAGCGGUGAAAUGCGCAGAUAUCAGGAGGAACACCGGUGGCGAAGGCGGGUCUCUGGGCCGAUACUGACGCUGAGGUGCGAAAGCGUGGGGAGCAAACAGG
rnacentral:rRNA from 1 species